UGGGGGAAGGGUGACAUCCGCUAUUGCUUGCAAUGGCAAUUCUAGUUAUUAUUGUCACCCGAUCGACAAUGUCGGGUGACAUAUUGCUUUUCCUCCGUUUCUUUGUUAUUAUUAUUCUUAUUCUUCCAAUGAUUUUUGUCCGGCAGAUUUUUUGAAGGCAAUGGAACCAAUCUUAGUGAUAGUCAACUAUAAUGAGGAACACAAAAUUUCGGGUUGCAGUAGGUCAUAGGACCAUUAAAAAUGGCUGCCGUUACCAUGGAAACGGAAAAAUUGUGAAAAAUUCCACUUUUUGGUUUUAGGGAAUUAUUUGGAGAUGCUUAGACUUAGAAUCAUUAUAUUUUGAUACAAUGUAGGUGCCCACUAUAUACUUGUUUUGGAUGAUUUUUGGCAUUCAUUGGAACUACUAUGUUGCCAUGGAUACUACACCAAAAAUUUCCAAAAUAUCAAAAUGCUCCAAAUUUAAUGAAACUUCACAGGAACGAUGAGCAACAUUGGUAGAUGUGCAAUUUGGCGUUGGAAUUUCGAAAAUGUCUUGUGUUACCAUGGAAACAAGGCAAAAAUGGUCAAAACGCUUUAAAAAACCUUAAAAGUGGCAUUUACUUCCUUAAAAUGGUAGGUCAAAUUCAUUGAAACUCUGAUGGUAUGUUCCCUCCCAUGUACCAAUGGAGUAUCUGCCAUUAAAAAUUUGGAAUGGUCUGUGUUACCAUAGAAACCAGCCAAAAUGUCAAAAAUUUCAAAAACUUCAAAAUGCUUCAAACUUGAUGAAACUUAAUAUAUUUGUUGACUGUCUAGUCUGCAUGAGACUUUUGAAGUUGGAAUUUCCAAAAUGGCUACCGUUGCCAUGGAAACUGCAGAAAUGUCAAAUAUUUUCAAAAUGCUCCAAACUUAAUGAAACUUAAUAUUAUUGUUUACUGGCAUGUAUAGAUGAGACUUUUGACUUUGGAAUUUUCAAAAUGGCUGCCGUUGCCAUGGAAACAGCAGAAAUGUGAUACUUUUGACAAUGCUCAAAUUGUACUGAAAAUUUACAGAAAGAUAUAUCGCAAUGCAUUGAUCUGCAUUCACUGUUAAGUUGUUUUCAAAUGGCUGCCGCUUAGUGGCAAUAGGGGGAAGGGUGACAUCCGCUAUUGCUUGCAAUGGCAAUUCUAGUUAUUACUUCCACCUAUUUUGUCCGGCAGGUUUUUUGGAGUGAAAUGGAACCAAUCUUAAUGAUAGUUCACUAUAAGGUGGAACACAAAAUUUCGGGGUGCAGGUGGGUCUAAGACCAUAAAAAAUGGCUGCCGUUUCCAUGGAAACAGAAUAAUUGUGAAAAAUUCCAGUUUUUGGUUUUGGUGAAUAAUUUGGAGAUUCUUAAACUCAGAAUCAUCAUAUUUUGAUACAAUGUAGGUGCCAGCCAUAUACUGGUUUUGGAUGAUUUUGGCAAUCAUUGGAACUACUAAGUUG
rnacentral:lncRNA from 1 species